CAUGACAGUAUUUCAAGGUUAACAUAAAAUUUUUUAAAUCAAUGAAUACAAAAUAAUAAAAUAAAGACAAAGAUUCAAUUAAUUCAAAAUAAAACAAUAUGAACAAAACAAGUAUAAAAAUACAUUAUACAUGAAUAAGAGGGGCAAAACAAGCCCAACUACAUUAUUAAUCACUAUAACCACCAAUUUAAAUUUAAAUAGCUUACCAGAUUGGAUUUUAAAAAUCCAGCUCUAUGCUAUUUAAAAGAGACAUAUCUAUGAGGACAUGAGGACAAGGAAAAUAUUUCCAUAGUUUUAAUGAUAGAAAAUCAUGUAGUGUAGGGCCAUACUGUUUCCUGUUGUCAGCCAAUUUGUAGUUCAGAUUGCCCAGAAAAAUACCAUGCUUUCUGUCAGUGGGUUAUUCACCAUGUUUAAUUUAUUUGCCUUGUUUCAAUGAAAGGAGAUUUACUGGCAAUCUGCACAGAGAAGUGGUAAGACUGAUUUAUUUGUUAGUCUAUUAGAAAUUUAAAAAUUUUGUUCUUUGUCACUGAUUAGCAUAGUCUCAGUUUAUGAAGUUAGACAUUGCUGCUGGGUGCAGUGGAUCACAUCUGUAAAUCCCAGCACUUCGGGAGGCUGAGGUGGGUGGAUCACUUGAGCUCAGGAGUUCAACACCAGCCCAGGCAACAUAGUGAAAUCUCAUCUCUACAAAUACAAAAAUUAGCAGGGCGGGGUGGCGCCUUCCUGUGUUCCCAGCUACUCAAGGAGCUGAGGUGGGAGGAUUGCUGGAGCCUGGGAGGUCCAGGCCAGAGUGAGUGCAGAUUACAUCACUACACUGCAGCCUGGGUGACAGAGUGAGAAGGUGUCUCAUGUUCUAAAAACUAAAAAAACAAACAAACAAAAAAAAAACCCCACAAAGUUAGAGAUUGCUUUCUCUUACAUUACCACUCUCAACUCAAAGCUUUUAGCAAUUUUUAUGUGAGGCAAGACUAAACCAUGUGGAAAGCUGCCUCAAUACCCACAUUGGUUCCUUGUAAAAACGAGAAAUAAACUUUUGUUUUCUUUUGAGAUGGAGUCUCACUCUGUAGCCCAGGCUGGAGUGCAGUGGAGCUCUUGGUUCACUGCAACUUCCGCCUCCCAGGUCCAGGUUCAAGCAGUUCUCCUGCCUCAGCCUCCCCAGUAGCUGGGAUUACAGGCACAUGCCACCAUGCCCAGCUAAUCUUUGUAUUUUUAGUAGAGAUGGGGUUUCACCAUGUUGGCUAGGCUAGUCUUGAACUCCUGAUGUCGUGAUCUAUCCCCCUCAGCCUCCCAAAGUGCUGGGAUUAUAGGCGUGAGCCACCGUGCCCAAACUUUUUCUUAUGCUACCAAAAGUUUGAUGUCACCUAUCAUAGCACUUGGUGUUAUUUUAACUAACAGAAUGUUUAAUCAGACUUUCAAAUGUUGAGAUGAGGGCAAGAGUCAGGUAGCAAUCAAUCUCUCUCUUAAUCUCAAUUAAGUGUGAUUCCCAGUUAGACUUUUAGUCAUCCUGGGUUGUCGGUGCACGUGCAGAGAAUUAACAGCAUUUAGAGAUUCUUAAAGCAGCAGCAGAGGCUGCACAGUUGGAUAAGCCAUGGAUUUCUCAAAUAAAUUUGAGCGAGACCCACACAACCUUGAGCAGACUUAUAAGAUGAAUUUGUUUCAGAUUCCUCAGCGCAUGUCAGAACCCACUUCCUCCCCACUCACAUCUGUUAGAUUCCUUCCCACCCUUUGUACUCACUCACUAGGGAGCUUGCAGCCAUUCCAAGCCACUCACGAGCAAGCAUAGGGCUUAGGAGCACAAACAUGGUACUUUUUAGAAGAAAUGCACAGAGGCUUUGUCUCCAGUAUAGUACUAAUCAGUCCCUUUACUUCUCAACUCUUAGGUGCCUAUUUCCAACUAUACUCAACAGAUACACAAGUGGAAUGUGUAUAAAUUAUGCACAUGAAAAGGGAACACUUCAAAGCUCCUUCAAGCUUGAGGUUUAUUUGGAUAUAAAGGUAUACUUAUUAAAGUGGUAAGUUUUCUUUUGGUCAUGGCAACUCAUUAAUCAGGCAACAAUUUACUGAACUCCGAAUUCUUAACACUUCACUGGGAGAGAGGGAAAAGGACAAGAGAGUAUGAGGAAAAACGUUUAAAAGAGAAAGUUCUGGUAUACACUUGCCCAGGUUGAGAGAAAACAAAAUAAAAUGUAGCUGACCUCUUUUAUCAUUCCUGGUAACAUACACUUAGGUUAAAAUCCCUUACCCUCUAAAUGCAAUGAUUUUCUGUUGUUUUGAGGGGGUAUUUCUGUUUUGAUUGUCUGAAUUCACUAGUAAAUAAACGUUCCCUUAGUGAGCCAGACCAGCCAAUGUGCCCAAGAAGCUGGUGGAGGAUCAGCCAACACCCUGGCCUUUCAAAGAGUCAGCUAUUUGUUUUAACCCAUUUCUUCCUGAGCUAUACUUUAAACAUGCAUCCUGAGUUUUUUUUUUUUUCUUGAUCAGGUCUACGGUAGGGUUUUCCAGUGUUAUUUCAAAGUAAAGCAAUUUAUGUAUCAAUCUUAUCACUAGCCACUAUCACUUGGCUCUCUUAGCAAGUCAGAAAGAACAUAGGUCACAGCAACUAGAGCAAGAGCAGCAUUUACCUUUACUGAACUGUCCAACUGCCCCUGAUAAGAUCUAAUGUCAUUAGGAGCUCAAGAAUGAAAAAAAAAAAACAGCACUUACAAAGGAGGACGGUAUUAAUGACAAAGAAUCCCCAUGGUUUGGUCACAUUAGAAACACAACGCCUUCAUUCUUCAUCAAUAUUUAUUGGGCGCCUAUUAUG
rnacentral:lncRNA from 10 species